rnacentral:rRNA from 1 species
UGGGGAAUAUUGGACAAUGGGCGCAAGCCUGAUCCAGCCAUGCCGCGUGUGUGAAGAAGGCCUUUUGGUUGUAAAGCACUUUAAGCGAGGAGGAGGCUACUGAGAUUAAUACUCUUGGAUAGUGGACGUUACUCGCAGAAUAAGCACCGGCUAACUCUGUGCCAGCAGCCGCGGUAAUACAGAGGGUGCGAGCGUUAAUCGGAUUUACUGGGCGUAAAGCGUGCGUAGGCGGCUUCUUAAGUCGGAUGUGAAAUCCCUGAGCUUAACUUAGGAAUUGCAUUCGAUACUGGGAAGCUAGAGUAUGGAAGAGGAUGGUAGAAUUCCAGGUGUAGCGGUGAAAUGCGUAGAGAUCUGGAGGAAUACCGAUGGCGAAGGCAGCCAUCUGGCCUAAUACUGACGCUGAGGUACGAAAGCAUGGGGAGCAAACAGG